AACACUUCAGUGCGUUUCUACC
rnacentral:siRNA from 1 species